AUCACACCGUGCUCCUCCUCCCCUAGUUAUCACAUGUGCUCCUCCUCCCUCGUUAUCACAUGUGCUCCUCCUCCCCUAGUUAUCACACCGUGCUCCUCCUCCCCUAGUUAUCUAGGGUCCUCCUCCUCCCCUAGUUAUCACACCGUGCUCCUCCUCCCCUAGUUAUCACACCGUGCUCCUCCUCCCCUAGUUAUCACAUGUGCUCCUCCUCCCCUAGUUAUCAGAUGUGCUCCUCCUCCCCUAGUUAUCACACCGUGCUCCUCCUCCCCUAGUUAUCACAUGUGCUCCUCCUCCCCUAGUUAUCACACCAUGCUCCUCCUCCCCUAGUUAUCACACCGUGCUCCUCCUCCCCUAGUUAUCACAUGGUGCUCAUCCUCCCCUAGUUAUCACAUGUGCUCCUCCUCCCCUAGUUAUCACACCGUGCUCCUCCUCCCCUAGUUAUCACAUGUGCUCCUCCUCCCCUAGUUAUCACAUGUGCUCCUCCUCCCCUAGUUACCACAUGUGCUCCUCGUCCCCUAGUUAUCACACUGUGCUCCUCCUCCCCUAGUUAUCACACCGUGCUCCUCCUCCCCUAGUUAUCACACUGUGCUCCUCCUCCCCUAGUUAUCACAUGUGCUCCUCCUCCCCUAGUUAUCACAUGUGCUCCUCUUUCCCUAGUUAUCACACCGUGCUCCUCCUCCCCUGGUUAUCACAUGUGCUCCUCCUCCCCUAGUUACCACAUGUGCUCCUCGUCCCCUAGUUAUCACACUGUGCUCCUCCUCCCCUAGUUAUCACACCGUGCUCCUCCUCCCCUAGUUAUCACACUGUGCUCCUCCUCCCCUAGUUAUCACAUGUGCUCCUCCUCCCCUAGUUAUCACAUGUGCUCCUCUUUCCCUAGUUAUCACACCGUGCUCCUCCUCCCCUGGUUAUCACAUGUGCUCCUCCUCCCCUAGUUAUCACACCGUGCUCCUCCUCCCCUAGUUGCCACGCUGAAAGCUGGUGUUGGCCAGCAGAGGCCCUCGCAUGGGAGCAUGUGGAGGUGGCUGUUCUC
rnacentral:lncRNA from 1 species